AUUGAACGCUGGCGGCAGGCCUAACACAUGCAAGUCGAGCGGAAGAAGAGUACUUGCUUGUGGUUACGGCGGGCGACGGGCGGAUGGUGCCUGAGAAUAUGCCUGUCUACUGGUUAUUAGGUGCGAACGCAGGGACAAAUACCCCAUUACUGCAGAGGACCUACGGGGGGAAGCUUCGGACCUUAGGACCUCAGGUGAUUCAAGGUGCCGAUGUCGGAUUAGCUAGUUGGUGGGGUAAAGGCCCACCAAGGCGACGAUCCGUAGCUGGUCUGAGAGGAUGAUCAGUCACACUGGAACUGAGACACGGUCCAGACUCCUACGGGAGGCAGCAGUGGGGAAUAUUGGACAAUGGGCGAAAGCCUGAUCCAGCCAUGCCGCGUGUGUGAAGAAGGUCUUCGGAUUGUAAAGCACUUUAAUUGGGGAAGAAGGGCAGCAAGUUAAUACCUUGCUGUUUUGACGUUACCAACAGAAUAAGCACCGGCUAACUUCGUG
rnacentral:rRNA from 1 species